AGGCUUAACACAUGCAAGUCGAGGGCAUCAGGAAGAAAGCUUGCUUUCUUUGCUGACGACCGGCGCACGGGUGAGUAACACGUAUCCAACCUGCCCUUUACUCGGGGAUAGCCUUUCGAAAGAAAGAUUAAUACCCGAUAGUAUAAUGAUUCCGCAUGGUUUCCUUAUUAAAGGAUUCCGGUAAAGGAUGGGGAUGCGUUCCAUUAGGUUGUUGGUGAGGUAACGGCCCACCAAGCCUUCGAUGGAUAGGGGUUCUGAGAGGAAGGUCCCCCACAUUGGAACUGAGACACGGUCCAAACUCCUACGGGAGGCAGCAGUGAGGAAUAUUGGUCAAUGGGCGCUAGCCUGAACCAGCCAAGUAGCGUGAAGGAUGAAGGCUCUAUGGGUCGUAAACUUCUUUUAUAUAAGAAUAAAGUGCAGUAUGUAUACUGUUUUGUAUGUAUUAUAUGAAUAAGGAUCGGCUAACUCCGUGCCAGCAGCCGCGGUAAUACGGAGGAUCCGAGCGUUAUCCGGAUUUAUUGGGUUUAAAGGGAGCGUAGGUGGACUGGUAAGUCAGUUGUGAAAGUUUGCGGCUCAACCGUAAAAUUGCAGUUGAUACUGUCAGUCUUGAGUACAGUAGAGGUGGGCGGAAUUCGUGGUGUAGCGGUGAAAUGCUUAGAUAUCACGAAGAACUCCGAUUGCGAAGGCAGCUCACUGGACUGCAACUGACACUGAUGCUCGAAAG
rnacentral:rRNA from 1 species